rnacentral:rRNA from 1 species
GCAUUAGGGAAUCUUCCACAAUGGGCGAAAGCCUGAUGGAGCAACGCCGCGUGUGUGAUGAAGGGUCUCGGCUCGUAAAACACUGUUGUAAGAGAAGAAUGACAUUGAGAGUAACUGUUCAAUGUGUGACGGUAUCUUACCAGAAAGGAACGGCUAAAUACGUGCCAG